CGGGAUGUGGCGCAGUUGGUAGCGCACCUGCUUUGGGAGCAGGGGGUCGCACGUUCGAAUCGUGUCAUCCCGACCA
rnacentral:tRNA from 1 species